UCAGUGAUCUUGCUCUUCUCUAUCCCAAGUUGCUCGACCAUAUAAUCUUUGAUAUUCUGCCCACAUGCUGCUGCAAGACCAGAACUAAGGGGAUAAAGGGUAUCAUCAAGAUCAAACAAAAGGCAAUCAUAUUUAGGCCUUUGUGCCUGGAGAUAGCAAUCCUCAUACUCCAUUUUUUAUCUUGAAACCAACUGAAGAACUAUAGGAGCAAAAUAGAGACAGAAACUGAGUGAAUAAUAAUAAUACAGAGCAAAG
rnacentral:misc_RNA from 1 species